AGGAUGGGAACGGCCUGAGUCCCGUUCCUGUUUCUAGCCCCCAAGCACGGCAGGGGCUUCGUCACCGCACAUCAGAUGAGUGAACAGCCAGGAUGAAGAGGCAGGAGUGCCAAGCAGUGACCAGCGCUCAGGGAGAGAAACCACAGAUUCGUCCAACGACCUUGAGCGAGAAGGAGCUUCCUUUCUUCAGGCCGCAGUUCUCCCAUUGAUGGAGAGAGGAACCACCCAGGCUGCCUAAGUAUUUUCACAGAUGCUGCAUCCCUCUUGAAGCCUUCUUAGGGAAGCCAGUUCUGUCCCUCCUGAUCCUGGCACCCGCUCGGCCUCCUUGUGCCACUUGAUCUGCCCUCCUUCUCCAAGAAGUCUCGGGGGCACCCUGUCCAGCUCUGAGUCUCGUCCUAGAUGACCAGGAGGGUCUGCGGGGCCUGGCCAAAUGCUGGAUUGAGAAGCUGGGGCUGUUUGUCCACUUCCUUGAAGGUGGGCUGGCCUGGUGACUGGUGGACCAGGAGGAUGAGGGGGAAGUGAUGAUGUGGAACUUCUGGACGCCAAGGAGCCUUGCGACUUCCACCUGGGCCCUCAGGCCACUCAUUCUUGGGACACUCCCUCUUGAAACCCAGCCAUCAGGCUCUGAGAAGCCCAAGCCAUGUGAAGAAGCCAUAGGUAGGCGCCAUUGUUGACCACCCAUCUCAGCUGCCAGCCAGCUGGCCUCCACUGCUGGCCAGAUGAGGCAACUGAGGCUCAGAGAGGUGAAGUCACUUGCCCCAAAGGACACAGCCGGAGGUUCUCAGCAGCUGUGUUCACAGAAGUCAAAAACUGGAAACUCUUGGGACCGGCCCCGUGGCCGAGUGGUUAAGUUUGCGCGCUCUGUUGCGGUAGCCCAGGGUUUUGCCGGUUCGGAUCCUGGGCAUGGACAUGGCACUGCUUAUCAAGCCAUGCUGAGUUGGCAUCCCACAUGCCACACUAGAAGGACCCACAACUAAGAAUAUACAACUAUGUACCGGGGGGCUUUGGGGAGAAAAAGGAAAAAAGUAAAAUCUUUAAAAAAAACAGAACAAAACUGGAAACUCUCCAGAUGCCCAUCAACAGCAGGAUGGACAGAUAACUUGUGGUGCAGUCAAACUACGGAACAUGACCCAACAAGGAGAAAGAACCAGUAAACUAUAUGCAAGAAUAUGGAAGAAUUUCACAGACAGAAUGUUGAGCAAAAGAAGCCAGAGACAAAAAGGCUGCAUGUUGUAUGUUUUCAUUUAGGGGAAAUGCAAAAACAGGCAAAAGUCAUCCCUGGUAGUAGAUGUCAGGAUCAUGGCUACCCUUGGGGGGCGGAGGUGGUGAUGACUGGCAGGGAGCCUGAAGGGGGCUUCUGACCUUAGUGUUCUUCUUCUUCACCCAGGGACUGGUUAUAUCGGGUAGUCGAUUUGUGAACGUUUAUCAUAUGUGAUAUGUGUUUUAUCACUUAUGAUAUCAUAAAUGGUAAUGAUAAAAUAUAUCAUAAUUUUAUCAUUUAUGACAUGUGUACUUUCUUGUAUGUAUAUUACAUUUCAGUAAAAUGUUGUAAAAAAA
rnacentral:lncRNA from 1 species